rnacentral:lncRNA from 1 species
GGCGGUGCAUGCACUGUGCACCCUCCUGGUUAACAGCCCCACGGCCCGAGAGCUGUGCUUUACAUGAAUGUCUUCUGUUAAAGCAGCUCGUGUGGCUUCUGCACCCUGGUGGAGCCAACACACGUGCCUGUCACGGAGGUGAGGAGUGAGUGAGUUCUCACCAGCAUUUGACGCUGACCUUCCGGAGACAUGGCGUCCCUGAGAGCCUGCAGCCUGCCAGAGCAGAGAGCCACCCGCUGGCCGUUCUGUUGGAAUUUCGGAGUUCCUGUCUUUCAGGCAACAUCUGCCAAGCGCGGUUUGUGUAAGGAAACCCAUUCUGUCGUGUCUGCCGGGGCCCAGGGCGGCUGCUGUGCGGGAACCAGCUUUUGUGGCCCAUGGAGCAACGACUCAGUCUGGGGCUCGGCUACUCUCCGGCCCGGGGUACUGGCAUUUCCCUGGGGCCCAUGGGGCGAGUGCCCCUAUUUUUCCCAUGAGGCCUCAGCCAAGAGGAGGUUCGGGAAGAAAGGAAAACACAGAGAAGCAGAGGAACACGUCAUGGAGACGGACCGAGUUGAAGGAGCCAGGGAUGGUGACAAGCGGAAGGAAGUGUGUUUUGUCCCCAUCCAGGGAAGCUUUUGUUUCAUGAGACUUACUUGCGCACGUCUGGUAGCUGCCCUGGACAUUCAUGGACUUUCGUUUUCACUCAGAUUUUGUGGUUCACGUGACACAAAGCAUGAGGACAUCACUGGGCGAGAGGGCCAGGUCACCCCACUGCCGAGGGGCACGCCCCAGCUGUGCACCGCUAGAGUGGGCUUGUCCAGUCCUCGGACACGGGGACAGGGUGUGCCCAUCUCAUGUAAGACAUGAAUAAUAGUAGAAAUUUCUGUUGCAUGAGAACUCUCUGCAUUAUCCUCACCAUUUUCCUGUAAGCGUAAAACGUCUAAAACUUUUUUAUGAGCACACUAA